AUUGCAACGGGGAUAUUUGGUUACAUCCUCCGCGCAAAAAUUAAAUGAUAUUAGACACCAACACCGCCAACAGCUGUCUAACAACCGUUCAUGGUCAUUGUGCCAUAAAUGGCAAACGAAACGAAAUUGAAAUUAAGCAAAUGAGUGGGAAACCAGACGCUGAAGCAGCCAAGGAGAAGAACACCGAGGCAGCAGCAGCAUCAAAAGCACGGCAGUACAUCAGCAAUCGCAACGUCGGAAAACGAGUUGAUGAAGUCGAGGUCCAAAAGCCGAAUCCAAAUCCGAAUCCACUAGACGAAGGCGGAUGCGCACCUAGAAGUCAAAUGAGGAACUCUAGCGGAUGCUGUGCCUCUUCAGCUGGCCCAAAAUCCAACAACUUCAGCGGCGUCGUUGAUCAGCGCACAAUGCACACUGGAAAAUAAAAUAUUUCCGAAUAUAUUACAAUAUUGCAAAAUGAGCGCUUGUAAUGUGUUUAAAAUGUAUCAAACCCAC
ensembl:ncRNA lncRNA:CR45564 long non-coding RNA:CR45564